rnacentral:rRNA from 1 species
UACGGGGGGGCAAGCGUUGUUCGGAAUUACUGGGCGUAAAGGGCUCGUAGGCGGCCAACUAAGUCAGACGUGAAAUCCCUCGGCUUAACCGGGGAACUGCAUCUGAUACUGGAUGGCUUGAGUUCGGGAGAGGGAUGCGGAAUUCCAGGUGUAGCGGUGAAAUGCGUAGAUAUCUGGAGGAACACCGGUGGCGAAGGCGGCAUCCUGGACCGACACUGACGCUGAGGAGCGAAAGCCAGGGGAGCAAACGGGG